CGGGACGAGUGGUGUGGGCUAUGCGCUGGCGGCCCUCGUGGGGCCGUUCGCCGCGCUGAUCAUCUUCGGCGGCGUCCUGUCC
rnacentral:tRNA from 1 species